AUGGAAGCUAGGGCUCCAUUGGGGGUGUCGCUUCAAAUUCAGCGAACAGUCUUUCCUCCUCUUCAAACAGACGGCGCCGAAUUCGAUCUCCCUGGCGAUUCACCCUCCUAUCCGCCACCGUGGUUAAGAUCAUCACUACCUUGUGUCACUGUGAAACACCUCGUCCUAACCCCAUCUCUUUCAUCUUCACAUCGAAUCGCCAUGGGACCAACUCAGUGGCCUCAAUUAAGAUCUGACUCAGGAAACGACGGUAUCACGAGGAAGAAGCGAAUGCGAGGCAAGCAAUAA